GUUCUCACUUCAGCAGCACACAUACUAAAGCUGGAACAACACAGAGAAGAUUAGCAUCCUAUGUAAGGAUGACACACAAAUUUCACUUUAUUAAAAAAAGUUU